AGCUGCAACAAAUAAGAUGACAAAUUGUAAGAGAGAAAUCAGAGACCAUGUUUAUAACAUAAGAAUUAAUAGCUUUGAUUCUAAGGAGCUCUUAGAAGUCACUAAAAGUGGUUGAAAUAUAUAUAUGGGAUAUUAACGAGCAAUCCACACAAAUUAUUUUACUACAUAACUACUAUGCAUCACUGCUCUGAAGAGUAAGGACACGGCAGUACACCAAAAAGCCAAGACCCUGCUACCACAGAAACUAAGUUUUCAAAGAAAAGAGAUAAAUGAAUAUACAAGACAUUCUUAGAGAGUAAUAAAUUCUGUGUAGAAAACAGAAGAGUGACGUACAGUGACUAGGAGGCCUUCCUGCGGUUUGGGGUGGACAGGGAACCCCUCUGAGGAAGUGGCCAAACAGCAGGAGGCACAAAGCAAUGCAAAUAAUGCAGAAGUCCCAAGGCAGGAAGAGCCCAGCUCGGCCCAGAAUAGAAAGGAGGACAGAUUCAAAACACAGCAACACAGAGACAUAUAUGAGAAGAAGGAAGACAUCCAAGUGAAGAUAUCAAGGAGACAUUCAGGCAUGGGUCUGGCGCUCACUGGAAAGUUUGAGGCUGGAGACAUGAAUUUGGAAAUCACUGCCAUCCAGAUGUACUUGACAGAAUGAAGACGGGGACAAGAGCAAUGACCAAGUCUGAGGCACUCACUAAGAGGUCUGACAAAGGAUAAGGUGGUAGGUCUGGGGAAAACAAAGGUGUGUUAUCGUUCAAGAGAACAAAGAUGUGGGCAUGAUGCAAAGGCUGGUCAACAUCAAAGGAGAGAAGGCUGAGUGAAGCAAUGCGUGGUUUAGCAACAUGGAAACCAAUGGCCCUAUAACAAGAUAAUGCUUAUUCACAUGAAUAAAAUAAAUGCAUAAAUAUCAAGUCAUUAUGUUGUAUAGCUUAAACUUACACAAUAUGUCCUAUCUCCAUAAAACUGGAAAAUACAGCAAGAAAACCCAGGGAGGAGACAGGGAAUCUAACUGUUGGUCAGGAUGGGUCAUAUCCAUAAGCCUAACAUAAAACAUCUUCUGUCAUUUAUGUGCCAUUUAAAAGAACACUGAAGAGUUAAAUAUAAACCAUCCCUGGAAACAAGAAAUGAAUAAAAUAUCAACAUAAUUAUUUUCCUCCUCUCAGACUGGUUAGCAGUACGGGGGCAAGGGGCCAGGCUCUCUUAAAAUGAUUUGAGAGUAGAAAUGGUUUAUACAUAAAAUAAAUCCAUGGGGACACAGAAUAUAGUCAAUAAUGUAUUAACUUUGUAUGGUGACAGAUGGUAACAAGAUUUAUAUGGUGAUCAUUUCACAAUGUAUAUAAACAUCAAAUCACCAUGUUGUCCACCUGAAACUGACAUUGCAUUUCAGUUAUACUUCAAUAAAAAAGUGUAAAUGUAAAUUGGCAGAGUAUUUCUGGAGGGCAACAGUGAUCAAGAUGUAUUGUGUUUAUACUUUGUAAAAUUCACUUUCUUGGGUUUCUUCCUAAGGAAAUACGUGGAAAUAGAAAAAAUGAAUUAUAAGAGAACGUUCAAAACAAAGUUGUUCACAAUAGGAGAAAACUGUAAACAGCGUAAUUUUUCAUCAGUAGAGGAUGGAUUAUGGCACAUCCAACACGCUGAAACAGAAGGUCUUUUAAGAGGGUAACCAGAGGGGCGCCUGGGUGGCUCAGUCGGUUAAGCGUCCGACUUCAGCUCAGGUCACAAUCUCACGGUCCGUGAGUUCGAGCCCCGCGUCGGGCUCUGGGCUGAUGGCUCAGAGCCUGGAGCCUGCUUCCGAUUCUGUGUCUCCCUCUCUCUCUGCCCCUCGCCCGUUCAUGCUCUGUCUCUCUCUGUCUCAAAAAUAAAUAAAACCUUAAAAAAAAAAAAAAAAAAAAAAGAGGGUAACCAGAACGUCCAAGGAGCUCCACGUGUUUGAUUUGCCACCACAUAUGCAGUGUCUGAUACGUGACAGCUGCUUACAAAUACUAACUCAAUGACCAACUAUUUUUAUAGAGACAUGAAAAGAUAUUCACGUUAUACUGAGAAGAGGAAAAAAAAGCGACUUAGGAAAGAAACAGCAUGUAAAAUACACCCACAUAUGUUUAACGAUGGUGUUACAUGCUUGUAUCUGUGGACACAAAUGUCCCUGAAGGACACAUUUGAAACUUGAGAGCAGCAAACACCUCUAGAGAAAGGACCCUGGCAAGCAUCAGUUAGGGAGACCCAUUUUCUUCUUUAAAUAACAUUUUUUAAAUUUCUCCAUGCGUACGUACAACCUUGGGUUUUUUGUUAUGUUGUUUUCCAUUUCUUCAAGUAUGUUUGAAUGAAUAAAAGAUUUGGAAAGAUCUAUAAAA